rnacentral:rRNA from 1 species
UGGGGAAUCUUGGACAAUGGGGGCAACCCUGAUCCAGCCAUGCCGCGUGAGUGAUGAAGGCCUUAGGGUCGUAAAGCUCUUUCGCCUGUGAAGAUAAUGACGGUAGCAGGUAAAGAAACCCCGGCUAACUCCGUGCCAGCAGCCGCGGUAAUACGGAGGGGGUUAGCGUUGUUCGGAAUUACUGGGCGUAAAGCGCACGUAGGCGGACCAGAAAGUUGGGGGUGAAAUCCCGGGGGCUCAACCCCGGAACUGCCUCCAAAACUAUUGGUCUAGAGUUCGAGAGAGGUGAGUGGAAUUCCAAGUGUAGAGGUGAAAUUCGUAGAUAUUUGGAGGAACACCAGUGGCGAAGGCGGCUCACUGGCUCGAUACUGACGCUGAGGUGCGAAAGUGUGGGGAGCAAACAGGAGUUAGAUACCCUGGGUAGUCCACACCGUAAAACGAUGAAUGCCAGUCGUCGGGUAGCAUGCUAUUCGGUGACACA